AUUGAACGCUGGCGGCAGGCCUAACACAUGCAAGUCGAGCGGAGCGGCGGACGGGUGAGUAAUGCCUAGGAAUCUGCCUGGUAGUGGGGGAGAACGUCCGGAAAGGGGCGCUAAUCCAGCACACUAUCAGAUUCACCUAGGUCUGAUUAGCUAGUUGGUGGGGUAAAGGCUUACCAAGGCGACGAUCCGUAACUGGCCUGAGAGGAUGAUCAGUCACACUGGAACUGAGACACGGUCCAGACUCCUACGGGAGGCAGCAGUGGGGAAUAUUGGACAAUGGGCGAAAUCCUGAUCCAGCCAUGCCGCGUGUGUGAAGAAGGUCUUCGGAUUGUAAAGCACUUUAAGUUGGGAGGCGUUACCAACAGAAUAAGCACCGGCUAACUUCGUGCCAGCAGCCGCGGUAAUAC
rnacentral:rRNA from 1 species